rnacentral:lncRNA from 1 species
GUGGCACGAUCUCCGCUCACUACAAGCUCUGCCUCCCGGGAUGUGCUGGCCAAGGCAGUGAAUUAGCAGCAUGUCUGUGUGACUUAGUGACGUGACUUCAGUAAAGACAUGGAGAGCCUUCCAGCCUCUGCUAUUCAAGCUGAUUGCAGUUGUGAAAUACACAUGCCUUUGCUAUAAGGGGAAAUGGAGCAGUCCUAACUUCCUCCUUCUUUGUGAGUUUGCUUUGUUAAAUAAACUAUGGAACUUAUGGAGGUGGCUGAGAGAGAAAGUUUUUGUUUGCCCUUGAACACUGCUUCAACCUGUGGGGGACAACUGAACUAAGCUAAGGACCAUCAGAGAACUUAAAUACAAAACCUCCUGAUAUUCAAGCUAAUGCUGUAACAACAAAGUUAACUUGAGCAAACUUUGAACAAUUCCCUUGCAGGCCCUGUUCUGGAAUCUCUCCAGUGGUGACCCUCAAACUUUAGCAUACAAAAAUAAGAAUCUGCUAAAGAACUGAUCAACCAUGCAGAUUUCUGAGCGCCACCCUCCUGAGAUUCUGAUUCAUUGGUUUGAGCACAGCUAGAAUCUGCAUUAUAAUAACGCCAAGGGUUCAGAUGUAGUCCACCUAAGGACACUCUGAGACAAGCAACAACUGCCUUGUGAACUUCGAGCCAAUGGAAAACCCGACUGAGAAACCUGUCUCAUCAUUAAGCCAACUUUAUAAUCUCAAGUCGUGAUGCAUACUUGGUGCUCACUCAAAUGGAAGUAGAAGGAGAAUGUGAGUCAAUGUGGUUCUAUCUGCAAUUUUCCACUUCCACCUGCAGGGAAAUGAUUUAUCCAUAAUGCAGGAAGGUCAAGGUUCCCAGGAUAGCACAAGUCAACAUUUUCCUUCUUACUACUAUGUAAACAAGUUUUUCAAGGCACUUUAGAUUUAAAAAGUUAACAAAGAGGAAAGACAAAGGAGGAAAGAAGGAAGAGAAGGAUUUUCACAGGAAAAAUAAAAGAAAGGUAAUCUUGCUAAAGUAAGUAGGACGAACUGGACUAUACCUGCUGAAUAAUUAUAGGGUACGCUUCAGAAGGCACACACUCAGCGAAGCCAGACACACUGGCCAGUAACGAGAUAGCAAGAGUUGGGAAUUAUUCAUUUUCUGGCCUCAUAUUAUCUGCAGAGUCCAUGAGGGUUUAGGAGGAUGGUCUUUUUCAGAAAUCUUAAUCUGUAUCAAAUGGAGGAAUGGAAUUGCAUCUCAGUGAGAUCUUGCUGUCCCGAUUCUUCUUCAGCCACCUGUAUGCCUACCAUGGGUUUGCAAAUUCUGCCCUGGGUCUGGUUACUACAUUAAGAAUAUAUCUUACUGUCAAUAUCAGGGUUCCUAUUAAACUGUUCUCCUAUGCAGUUCCCAAAUAUUAGACACAUAAGGAAAAGUGCUUUCCUAAAAAUGCUUUACUUUUUACCUUCAACAAGGGAACAACAGUUAGCUUCAACUUUCAACAGUUUUAGAAUACUUUGCAUUUUAAAAGCUUCUUGCAUUUGAACACAUCUCAAAAUCUUGGCCUCACUCUCUUUUCUCAAUGCAUAAAUGUGGUUACGAUCCCUGGGGGUUUUCACAUGCUUUUAUACCAGGUGACUGUGUAUUAAACGAGCUAAGGUAAAGUUGAUCCAUGAUAAUUAACAGGAAUAAGAUUUUAGGGGAAAAAAUCCUAAAACCUGUUUCUUAAAUGAAGCCAUCAAUCAUGGCAGAGGAGCCACAUGUUGGGCACAAAGCCAACACCCACACGGCUCUUUCUGGGACAAGGCUUUUGGUCAAGGGCAAGGUAUUCCCCACAAGAAGAGAGCUGAAUAUGUCUCCCAUUUUGCUAGUCUCUUAUAUUAGCAUAACUUUUAGUCUUAUGGAGGCAAACCUUCCCUGUUCCAGAGCCUUACUUCCAAUGAAGUAGGCAAGGCAACAAACACUCAAAGAAGUUAAGGGACUGCUUAAGCCUAACAAAUCUUGCAGGUGGUAGAGGUGGAAUGAGAACUGAGUUUAUGCUUAGGAAAGUAGACUGUGGUCUUUUUUCCUAAAGAAAGUUGCUUUGAGUAGGUACAAUGGGCAGUAGGUCACCAUUUAAAGAGGAAAGAAAUCCGUGACCAAUCAUAACUUGCUAUGCUUGUAAUUCCCACCACCUUAAAGCACAUAGGAAGUGUUUAGUUCGAUUGAAAGAUCAGUUACUUGAGAGAAUAACAUACAAACUAAACCUUAGUACAGUGUGAUAUUCCUACAUCAGACUAAUCUAUAUCCACCUAAUUUCAUACAGGGACACUGAGGAAGUGAAGCCCAGACUACCCUGUAGAUGCAUAGGAAGCUAAGGAAGAUAAUGGGUCCCAAAAAAGCAAUGGUGGGAAUUGGGGUCCAGUCCUUUUCCAGGAGGGAUGGAGUGUAAAAAGAAUAUUAAUAAAAUUAGGUGUUCAAGGCUAGUUUCCGAAAAAACAUUUUGAAUCAAACCUCUGUCCCAAGGACAGAAUAAAACACUCUGUGCUUUGGGAUACCCUAGGACCAACUUCAUCCAUUUCUCAGUUUUUCUUAGAUUAGGACAAUAAUAAGUAGUUUAAAUGCAUGUUGGCUACCAACAAAAGUUAACAAAUAAAGCCUGCCUAAAUUGAUGUGAAGA